GUCUUCUGUGUCACAUGAUCUUUCACAAAUCAUUCUAAUAUGCUGAUUUGGUGCACACAAAAAACAUUUUGUAAUAUUAUCCAUGUUGCAAUCAUUUGUGCUGCUUAAUAUUUAUGUGGAAAAUUAAUACAAAGUUUUUUUUUUUUUUUUUAAGUAUUUAUUUGAAAUAGAAAUCUUGAAAAUGUCUUUACUAUCAUUUUUGACCAGUUUAAUGCAUCCUUGCUGAAUUAAAAUAUUAAUUCCUUUAAAAAUUAAACUGACCCCAAACUUUUGAAUGGUAGUGUAUAUUACAUUAAAAUGAUUAAUCCAAAUUAAAGUAAUUACUGCUUUCUUUAUCACACAGUAAUAGUGUUAUCAGUCUCUUGCUGUUUUUUCCUGUAACACUGCGUGUUUGUUGGUCUGAUUUUGACAUACGCUCUCUCAGGCUACUGAGCAUAUUUGCAAAUGGAGAGGGGCAGUGGAAAUAAAAGAUAUGGCCUUUGACUAAAACCACAAGUUCUUCAAAAAAAAAAAGGGUGGGGGGAUUCAUUCUAUAUAAAACCACAUAUCUAUUCUCAGUACAAGAUCGAGAGAUUCACACAAGCAACAAUAUAAACACAACACAACCAUGUGAAAAGAGUUCUGUGUGAAAAUAAGAAGGAAAAGAGCGGAACAGACAGCAACAGGUUCAGAUGAUGACAGUAUUUAAUGCAGAAAAGACCAUGCUUUACAAACCAAGAUAGAAUGACACACUUUCCUUAAAGAUGCCAAGGUUACAAAAGCCAAUCUUAGAAAGAGUUUUACAUCAGUAAACCUUGGUCUUACUUAAAAGAUUUAUUUUUUUAAAAAUGUAUAUUAUAUUAUAUACAAUAUUAAUUCAAAUCUCUCCAACAGUUCCAUACAAAUGCCUUAUAAGAAGAUUUUUGACAACACUGUACCUGAGAAAACCCAAAAAAGCGAACCGACACACAGAUGAGAAAAUAGCAGUCCCAUACACUUUAACGUAAAAAGUGAAACCUGACUCUAGAGUGCCUUUCUUGUAAUUUCAAGUACUCUCCACUCCCAAAAGUGUGGACUCAUCGUAAGAACACUUUUGCUCAUGUGCUCUUGUUCAUUCGGGUUGUAAACAUAGUCUUACAUCAAUGUUUCCUUCAACUUGUUCCUUUUUUGGAGAAAAGAAAAACCAUGUCUAAUAUACAAUAAUCUUUGAUAAUAAUUCUAUAAAAUGCCCUGGAGUUGUGGAGCACAUACAAUAUCAUGCCUGCAUGUGACACCAAAAAA
ensembl:lncRNA